rnacentral:rRNA from 1 species
UUGACCUCGGAUCAGGUAGGGAUACCCGCUGAACUUAAGCAUAUCAAUAAGCGGAGGAAAAGAAACCAACAGGGAUUGCCCCAGUAACGGCGAGUGAAGCGGCAAGAGCUCAAAUUUGAAAGCUGGCUCCUUCGGGGUCCGCAUUGUAAUUUGCAGAGGAUGCUUCGGGAGCGGUCCCCAUCUAAGUGCCCUGGAACGGGACGUCAUAGAGGGUGAGAAUCCCGUAUGGGAUGGGGUGUCCGCGCCCGUGUGAAGCUCCUUCGACGAGUCGAGUUGUUUGGGAAUGCAGCUCUAAAUGGGUGGUAAAUUUCAUCUAAAGCUAAAUAUUGGCCGGAGACCGAUAGCGCACAAGUAGAGUGAUCGAAAGAUGAAAAGCACUUUGAAAAGAGAGUUAAAAAGCACGUGAAAUUGUUGAAAGGGAAGCGCUUGCGACCAGACUCGCUCGCGGGGUUCAGCCGGCAUUCGUGCCGGUGUACUUCCCCGCGGGCGGGCCAGCGUCGGUUUGGGCGGUCGGUCAAAGGCCCUCGGAAGGUAACGCCCCUAGGGGCGUCUUAUAGCCGAGGGUGCAAUGCGACCUGCCUAGACCGAGGAACGCGCUUCGGCUCGGACGCUGGCAUAAUGGU